rnacentral:rRNA from 1 species
UACGAAGGGGGCUAGCGUUGCUCGGAAUUACUGGGCGUAAAGGGCGCGUAGGCGGACAGUUUAGUCAGAGGUGAAAGCCCAGGGCUCAACCUUGGAAUUGCCUUUGAUACUGGCUGUCUUGAGUUCGGGAGAGGUGAGUGGAAUGCCGAGUGUAGAGGUGAAAUUCGUAGAUAUUCGGAAGAACACCAGUGGCGAAGGCGACUCACUGGACACAUAUUGACGCUGAGGUGCGAAAGCGUGGGGAGCAAACAGG